rnacentral:rRNA from 1 species
UACGUAGGGUCCAAGCGUUAUCCGGAUUUACUGGGUGUAAAGGGCGAGUAGACGGCGCUGUAAGUCAGCUGUGAAAACUUAGGGCUCAACCUUAAGACUGCAGCUGAAACUGUAGUGCUAGAGUGCAGGAGAGGUAAGCGGAAUUCCUAGUGUAGCGGUGAAAUGCGUAGAUAUUAGGAGGAACACCAGUGGCGAAGGCGGCUUACUGGACUGUAACUGACGUUGAGGCGCGAAAGUGUGGGGAGCAAAC